UACGGAGGUGGCGAGCGUUGUCCGAAGUUACUGGGCGUAAAGCGCGCGUAGGCGGCUUUGUAAGUUAGAGGUGAAAGCCCAGGGCUUAACCCUGGAAUUGCCUUUAAGACUGCAUCGCUAGAAUCGUGGAGAGGUGAGUGGAAUUCCGAGUGUAGAGGUGAAAUUCGUAGAUAUUCGGAAGAACACCAGUGGCGAAGGCGACUCACUGGACACGUAUUGACGCUGAGGUGCGAAAGCGUGGGGAGCAAACAGG
rnacentral:rRNA from 1 species